ensembl:lncRNA
AUACUCACCUUGCUCUUGGGGGACUGAGGAGAGGGAUGAAUCACAAUGAACCUGAACUUGCCCCUUCUGGCAACAGGAGAGGAGUCAGUCUGGAGGGCACAGGGCAAGGAAGAUGCUCCUUGCCAAAGUGAAGUCCCUGGGUUAGAGGGCCCUCCUCACAGGAUCUUCUCUGGGCCCCACCUUGAGGGCCCAGAGGGCCAAAAAACAGGCAAACGGUGAAACUUAAACCAGCUCUUAUCAGCAGCUGCUCGGAUGACACAUCGGGGCCCCAGAAACGGUUCCACCCAUUUCGGGUGCGCUUUGCAGACGAAAGCCCCAAGGACAUGGCAUUGCGAUACUGGGAGAGGAACUAUGACGUUCAGAGGAGCCUCCUCAAGAGCCCAGUACCCUAUAAGUCUCCAGAAGUUAUUCCAGGGAAAUUGGGGAUUUGGAUGGAGAAAAUCCCAAGGAAUGGACUUCAGCAGACGAACCUGUGGCGAGAUGAAUUCAUUCGUCCUGGGAGAAUGGAUAACAUACCCAUGUCAUUGCAAGAACUGCCUACUGAUAACCUAAAGAAGAGUCCCACCUACAGCUCUCUGCACACCAGCCCAUUGGCCAUUCUUGACUUCUCUGGUACCAGGACAUUCCAGGACCAGGGCACAGAUCCCCUUAAGAAGAACCCCAUCUACAACUCUCUGCACACCAGCACCUCAAAUAAUAUUGAUUUUUCUGGCACCAGGUCAUUCCAAGACCUUCCCGCCGAUUCCCCUAAGAAGAGUCCUACGUUCGGCAAUCUAUACAACAGUACACUGGCUAACAUUGACUUCUCUAAUUCUAGGCCGUUCCAGGAUCUCUGUAUCGAUCCUGCUAAACAUACCUCUUUGUACACCACCCCAGUAAUCAACACUGAUAGGCCACGAAGCCGGACCCUCAACACUGGAGUCUCCUCAUUGAAUGAGAACUCUCCUUCCUUGUGGGCUCCUAGAAUGGAUACUUUUGUACCUCACUUGAUGUCAUCUAAUCGGAAGGGAGGACAGACAGGACCUUACCAGUUUUUUCCUCCACUCACCCCACUUCGGACUCAAAGCACCAACCAAGGCAGCUCUGAGUCUCCCCGAUAGCCAGCUAGCCAGAAUGGCUCCUGAAGAACGAGACAAUAUGAAGAACAACGUGGCAAAUCCAGGGACACAGGGGUGGAGAGAAGAAAGGGACAAUUUCAGCAACUCCCUCUGCCCCCUUUCCCCUUACACUCUCUCUCUCCCCCCAAAUAAAAUUAACUAAAAACAGACACACAACCAACCAAUAGCUCAUAGGCUAUGAAGCCUUUCCAGAAACCAAGAGCCAAAUGUCUUCACUGAAGACAUAUUUCAACUCCAUGGAAGGCCUUCUCCCCUCUGACUUUGCUCAGGGUCAUAUGGUUUAAGAGUCCACUGAGGAAGAACUCUCCAACUCUCCAGCCUGUCGCCCUCCCUGAGCUAACAAGCCAGCCCUAACAUCAAUUAUAGCUCACAUACCUGUAAUAAUUUAGGGUUUACAAAGCACUUUCCCCACAAAUAAAAUAGUGGAAAGGG